rnacentral:rRNA from 1 species
ACUCAAAUGAAUUGACGGGGGCUCACACAAGCGGUGGAGCAUGUGGCUUAAUUCGAAGCAACGCGAAGAACCUUACCCGGGUUUGACAUGCAUGGAUGUUUCUCGGCGAUGAGUUGAGAAAUUACCUUUCGGGGUGAAACAUGCACAGGUGUUGCACGGCUGUCGUCAGCUCGUGCUGUGAAGUGUCGGGUUAAGUCCCUUAACGAGCGAAACCCUUGUCGCUAGUUACUAGCAGGUAAAGCUGUGGACUCUAGCGAGACUGCCGGCGUUAAGCCGGAGGAAGGUGGGGAUGACGUCAAGUCAUCGUGGCCCUUAUGCCCGGGGAUGCACACGUGCUACAAUGACCACUACAGAGGGCUGCAAGACCGUAAGGUGGAGCAAAUCCCAAAAAAGUGGCCCCAGUUCGGAUUGGAGGCUGCAAUUCGCCUCCAUGAAGUUGGAAUCGCUAGUAAUCGCGCAUCAGCUACGGCGCGGUGAAUGUGUUCCUGAGCCUUGUACACACCGCCCGU